UACCUGGACAUUUGCAGUAGAAGCGAGCCUUGUAAUCGGAGCAUGGAAUGGGGAAGUUAUCCGCGUUAUUACAAGUGAAUCCGCGAUCUACAGAGCACUCGGCCACUUCUCCAGAACUGUAGCUUGGGAUGUCCCCAUCUACCACGUGGCACUCAAUCUGGGUGAAGUUACCGCCGGAACAAAGCUGGAGUUUCUCUGCGACGGUCAGCUGUUCUCUGUCGCCGGUGCCACUGCUUGGGUUGUUGUGGUUGAUCCAGGCGGUCCAGCCCUCCUUGCAGGGUAUUGGUGGGGGUGUGGGGGAGGUGGUGGCAAUAUCAUGACCGCCCGGUUUUGUUGGUACCAGGUUGCUUGAUUUGGCAUUGGCAUCCGUUCCAGAUGUGGUUGGUGCUGGUGUGGCUGAAAUAUCACAUACAAAGGAAAUGCAGCUUUAGAUAAUCCAUAAGCAGAUGGUUCCACUGCCAUACAACCAGGGAAGCCCAACACCAGCUCCUUUGACUGAUGCCCAAGGGAAACCCAUUCUUGUCCCCAAGACUGACUCUUAUGGACAUCCAAUGACAGACGAAAACGGCACCCCCAUCCUUGUGACUAUCCCAGGUCCUAUGAAGCAGGUUACACCAACACCUCAACCAGAAACUGACAGAUUUGGAAACCCUGUUCUUGUUCCAAAGACUGACUCAUAUGGAAAACCUAUGACAGAUGAACAGGGCCACACUAUAAUGGUACCUAAACCAUACCAACAAACUCAACCCACACCUGCACCGGAGACAGAUGAAUUUGGAUAUCCUAUCAUGGUUCCAAAAACUGAUUCCUAUGGUAAGCCCAUGACAGAUGAGAAUGGCCAUACAAUCAUGAUUCCAAAACCAGUCACUCAAGGUCUGCCUACACCAGCUCCAAAAACUGACAAAUAUGGUAACCCUAUCUUGGUUCCCAAGACAGAUGAAUAUGGCCAACCUUUCACAGAUGCUCAAGGCCACACUGUGAUGGUUCCUGUUCCAGAUGUGCAGGGAAAACCAACUCCAGCUCCUGAGACUGAUGAAUAUGGAAACCCCAUCAUGGUGCCAAAGACAGACUCUUAUGGUAAACCUAUGACAGAUGACCAGGGAAGAACCAUAAUUGUACCAGUACCAUACAAGCAGAGUUCUCCUACCCUCAAACCUGUCACUGACGCUUCAGGCCACACUAUCCUGGUUGUGAAAACAGACUCCUACAACAAACCAAUGACGGACAAUCAAGGUAGCACUGUCAUGGUUCCACUCCGAGAAACGCAGGGUGUUCCCACACCAGCCCCACAGACAGACGAGCAUGGUAAUCCAAUCAUGGUGCCCAAAACAGAUUCCUAUGGAAAACCAAUGACAGAUGAACAGGGACAUACAACAAUGGUGCCACUGCCUGUGAAACAACAGCAACCAACUCCUUCACCUCAAACAGACAAAUUUGGAAAUCCAAUACUGGUUCCAAAGACUGAUGAAUAUGGCCAACCAUACACUGAUGAACAUGGACACACAGUCAUGGUUCCACUGCCAAAUGAACAGGGCAAACCAACACCAGCACCAAUGACCGACAAAUUUGGCAACCCAAUUUUGGUACCAAGAACUGAUGAAUAUGGAAGACCCUACACAGAUAAAUUUGGAAACACGGAAAUGGUGCCUUUACCAGGAUAUCAAGGAACCCCGACCCCGGCCCCAGAAACGGAUCGCUUUGGAAAACCCAUCAUGGUACCUAGAACUGAUGAAUAUGGCCGACCCUAUACUGACAUCAACGGACACACACAGAUGGUGCCCUUACCUGCCACACAAUACACACCCAUGGUGACACCUCAAACAGACAUUUUUGGAAAUCCAGUACUUUCCAGCUGUCUCCAAAGUCAUUGGACACCUUAUGUGAAUCGUGACAAGCCAGAGCUCGGAGGUGGAGACUAUGAAAAAUGACACCUGAAGAGCUGCACAUGUUCUGUCAGGAAGGAAAUAUAACCAAGAUUGAGUGCAUGACGUACGAAGGACUUCCCCAUUACAGUUCAGGCGAGAUCGUGACAUGUGACGUCAAGAAGGGAUUUUCUUGUGUGAAUGCUGACAACGCCCCUGUGCCCUGCUCAGACUACAAGAUUCGGUACUUCUGCCAGUGUGAUCGUGAUUCAACAGUAAGCCCAGCAGCAGUGACCCCCACUGUGGCCCCAAGCUUUAAACAAUGCGGCUGGUCCUCUUGGCUAAAUACAAACUCUCCCUCUGUCUCGCUCACCUCUGGAGACUUUGAGUCCAUCUACGAUCUGAAGGCCAAGUACGGACUCUGUAAGGAAAUCAGGAAAAUUGAGUGUCGAGUGGCCGGAAGUAAAACCCCACUCUCAUUAGCUGGUCAGGAAAGCGUGGCUUGUGAUGUCAGAAAUGGACUGCGAUGCUACAAUCGUGACCAACCAUCCGGUCUUUGUUACGACUAUGAAGUCCGAGUCCUGUGCUGGGCUGAUACUUGCAACCCUGAUCUGUUGACCACACCGACUCCAGAUGUUCUGCACUCCACAACUCCGAUCUGUGCCCCUGGUGAGGUUUAUGAGGCGUGUCCAUACCGAUGUGAUGACCUCUGUGAUGUUCUUGCCCAGCAGUCCUCGGCCUGUACCACUUCCCCUGCCACCAACCCCUGUGUGCCCUACUGUAGGCCCGCCGGGCUCACCUGUGCCCCCGGGGAGAAGCUGAAGGACAAGAACACCUGUGUACCCGCAAGUCGCUGUCCAUGUCGCAUGCAGAACGGGACCAUCGCUGGUCCUAUGGAGACUUGGACGAACCCUUAUGAUGAAUGCACCACCUGUCACUGCUUCAAUAACACUGUUACCUGUUCACGUGAUGAAAGCUGUGUAACUACUCCAGCUCCCACACCAGCAAACCCAGUGACACAUCCUGAAUGCGAGUGGACUUACUGGAUAAAUGUGGAUACACCACUGAGUGGAGAUGGGGAUCUAGAGACUCUAUCCAAGAUCCGCAGCAUCCACUCAUUCUGCUCCGCCCCUGUCCAGAUUGAAUGCCGUGAUGCAGAAACAAAAGUGGCCUCCACACAGGGUGGACAACGGGUUUCAUGUGACAUUAAGUCCGGAUUCAAAUGUCUGAACUGGGAAAAUGGUGGUCAUUGCCGUGACUAUGAAGUCCGUUUCUACUGUCCAUGUGCAAGCACUCCCAGUCCAAGGAUAAGUACAACUCCAGCUCCCGUCAAAUCGAUCUGCGGAUGGUCUAACUGGAUCAACAUGGACAAUCCUUCUGUUAUGAAACCUGAGAAGCCCUUCGCAGGUGACAUUGAGUCCAUGGCAGCCAUCAGAGAAAAGACAUGUGGCUACGACAUCAUGACAAGAAUUGAAUGUCGCACAGCAGAUGGGCAUAUUCCAUCAGACAGGACAAAUGAAACUUUGUCUUGUGACAGGAUCCGCGGAUUGAGGUGUAAAAAUGCCCUUCAAGCUGACAAAAAGUGUAUGGAUUAUGAGGUACGUGCAUACUGUGAUUGUAGCAAUGUCACCACCGCACCACCAGGAGGUACCACCAGGCCUAUCAGUGGUAUUACCACCAAGACAGUGGACAUCUGUGGCUGGACCACCUGGAUGAAUGGCCACCAUCCAGAUAAGUACGGAGACGUAGAGUUGUUGUCUGAACUUGAGAACAAGUACCGAUUCUGCCACACUGAUGAAAUCACUGCUAUUGAGUGCCGAGACAGCAUCACUGGCCUCUCCUCUAUGGAGGCGGGUCAGAGUGGCGUAAUCUGUGACAUCAAUGCUGGAGGCCUGAAAUGUGACGCCACCAAGCAGUUGGCUACCGGUGGUCAGUGCUAUGACUACGAGAUCCGCGUGCUGUGUGAACCAAAGGGUGUGCCAUGUGGCCCUUCCACGGAGCCAAAUGCUACACCACUGCUGGUACCGCUCACUGAUAUCUAUGGAAAACCAGUGACUGACAAAGAUGGGCACACCAUAGUGGUCCCUGUGACCUCCCAUCAAGGAACUCCCACCGCUGUCCCGGCCACCGACAAGUUUGAUAAAUAUGGAAACCCACUGUUGGUUCCCAAAACUGAUGUCUAUGGACAGCCAGUGACAGACAUAAAUGGGCACACUCAGAUGGUCACAGUCCUUGAACCCAAACCAGAAGGGACCGAUAAGCCCACAGCUGUUCCCAAGACAGACAAGUUUGGUAACCCAGAACUGGUGCCUAAGACUGAUGCCUUUGUUCCAAAAACCGACAAAUUUGGAAACCCGGUGCUGAUACCAAAGACAGAUGCCUUUGGUAAACCAGUCACAGAUGCAAACGGCCACACCAUCAUGGUCACUGUAUUGGAGCCUGUUCCUCAUGGACAGAGUACCCCAGUGCUAGUCCCUAAGACAGACAAGUAUGGCAAGCCUGUAUUGGAGCCAAAGACUGACAUAUAUGGACAACCAGUCACAGACCAGAACAAGAAUACAAUCAUGGUCACAGUGUUGGAGCCCCUCACUCAGCCCCAAGGAGUUCCCACUGCCAGACCCAAGACAGAUGCCUAUGGGAAUCCUCUGCUGGUACCAAAGACAGAUGCCUUUGGCAUACCUGUAACUGAUGCCAAUGGGCACACACAGAUGGUCACCAUCUUGGAACCUGUGCCAAGUUCCCAGGGAAUACCUACCGCAGUGCCAAAAACAGACAAAUUUGGAAACCCACUUCUCUUCCCGGAAACUGACAGAUAUGGAAUACCUGUAACUGACCAACUUGGCCACACCAAGCUUGUGACAGAAUUGGAAACCCUGCCACCUACCACCACUCCUGGCGUGGUGGUCACCACAUGUGCCACAUUCUGGUCCAACUGGUCCAAUGUGAACCACCCAGGAGGAUCUUUCCCCGGGGACAAAGAGCUAACCCCUGCAGAGUACACCGCCCGGACUGGCUUCUGUCAGGGUGGCUCCAUCAGUAGGGUUGAGUGCUACAGUGUGACAAUGGAUGCUCCAUCCUACUCCACAGGCGAGAUCAUUAAGUGUGACACCAAGGUUGGACUGGAGUGCACUGAUGCGGACAAUUUCCCGAUGCCAUGCACCGACUACAAGAUCCGCUACUUCUGUGACAUCUGCUCUGCUGUGACACCUGGCUCUAAUGUUACUCCUGUCCAUCUACCUCAAUCAUGUGGAGACCAGCACACCCAAGCCAACCUCACUGGUGUGUGCUGAUGGUAACUCCGCCCAACUUCCGAUCCACAUGGACGACAGCCAAUUAUCUGCAUCCUCAAGUCUCCGCCCCGAGUCCGGUCCCCAGAGAUCUCACUGGACACCACCGGCACCACCUCACUGUCAGGUGGGUGGGUCCCAGCCAGCAACGACAAGAACCAGUGGCUCAUGAUCAGCUUCACUGAGCCUGAGAUUAUCUACGCCGUCUCAACUCGCGGCCUGAACGGCGGCCAGAGUUGGGUGACGGCUUACUACCUAAUGUACUCUAUGGAUGGACUGAAUUUUACUUUCUACCAGGAGCUUGGCCAGAGAAAGGUGUUCUCUGGAAAUUUCGACUCUGACACUGUCAAUACACACACCCUGAAUCCUUUCGCUGCAAAAUUCAUCCGCAUUGUUCCGGAGAGAUGGAAUGGAGGCAUCGGACUCCGCUGGCAACUGAUUGGUUGUAAAGCUGCACCAUUAACAGUGGUAACAGGUCAAGGUUCCACCGUGACCCCUGCUGUGACCUCCACCCCCACCCCCGGGCCCCAGUGUGUAGAGAAAUGGUCUGAUUGGCUGAACAAGAACAGCCCUACCAACCAGGGUGCCCUCGGAGACUACGAAAAAAUGACCGACGCUGAGAAGGCCCAGUUCUGCCCAGGCGGUAAUGUGACCAAAGUAGAAUGUCACGCUGUCGACGGGGAUAUCCCCAGCUACAGCUCCGGGGAGAUCCUGACUUGUUAUCCCGACCAAGGCCUGGCCUGUAACAAUGCCGACAAUUUCCCCAUGCCGGCUCUGACUACAAGGCUCGAUUCUUCUGUAGCUGUCCAGGUAAGCUGGGCUUAAACAUGAAAAUGAUAGAAUUUUG
rnacentral:sRNA from 1 species